CGGGGUGCAGCAGGCGCGAAAACUUUACAAUGCUGGAAACAGCGAUAAGGGGACCUCGAGUGCCAGGUUACAAAUCUGGCUGUCGUGAUGCCUAAAAAGCAUUGCAUAGCAAGGGCCGGGCAAGACCGGUGCCAGCCGCCGCGGUAACACCGGCGGCUCGAGUGGUAACCGUUAUUAUUGGGUCUAAAGGGUCUGUAGCCGGCCGGAUAAGUCUCUUGAGAAAUCCAGCAGCUCAACUGUUGGGCUUUCAGGAGAUACUGUCUGGCUCGAGGCCGGGAGAGGUGAGAGGUACUUCAGGGGUAGGGGUGAAAUCUUGUAAUCCUUGAAGGACCACCAGUGGCGAAGGCGUCUCACCAGAACGGACCUGACGGCAAGGGACGAAAGCUAGGGGCACGAACCGGAUUAGAUACCCGGGUAGUCCUAGCCGUAAACGAUACUCGCUAGGUGUCGGCCACGGUGCGACCGUUGUCGGUGCCGUAGGGAAGCCGUGAAGCGAGCCACCUGGGAAGUACGGCCGCAAGGCUGAAACUUAAAGGAAUUGGCGGGGGAGCAC
rnacentral:rRNA from 1 species